ensembl:snRNA U6 U6 spliceosomal RNA
GUGCUCACUUUGGCAGCACAUAUACUAAAAUUGGAACAUUAGGGAGAUGCGCAUGGCCCCUGUGUAAAGAUGACACACAAAUUGAUGAAGCGUUCCGUAUUUUU